rnacentral:rRNA from 1 species
GUACAUGCAAGUCGAGCGGGGGAGGUAGCUUGCUACCGGACCUAGCGGCGGACGGGUGAGUAAUGCUUAGGAAUCUGCCUAUUAGUGGGGGACAACAUCUCGAAAGGGAUGCUAAUACCGCAUACGUCCUACGGGAGAAAGCAGGGGAUCUUCGGACCUUGCGCUAAUAGAUGAGCCUAAGUCGGAUUAGCUAGUUGGUGGGGUAAAGGCCUACCAAGGCGACGAUCUGUAGCGGGUCUGAGAGGAUGAUCCGCCACACUGGGACUGAGACACGGCCCAGACUCCUACGGGAGGCAGCAGUGGGGAAUAUUGGACAAUGGGGGGAACCCUGAUCCAGCCAUGCCGCGUGUGUGAAGAAGGCCUUAUGGUUGUAAAGCACUUUAAGCGAGGAGGAGGCUACUUUAGUUAAUACCUAGAGAUAGUGGACGUUACUCGCAGAAUAAGCACCGGCUAACUCUGUGCCAGCAGCCGCGGUAAUACAGAGGGUGCGAGCGUUAAUCGGAUUUACUGGGCGUAAAGCGUGCGUAGGCGGCUUAUUAAGUCGGAUGUGAAAUCCCCGAGCUUAACUUGGGAAUUGCAUUCGAUACUGGUGAGCUAGAGUAUGGGAGAGGAUGGUAGAAUUCCAGGUGUAGCGGUGAAAUGCGUAGAGAUCUGGAGGAAUACCGAUGGCGAAGGCAGCCAUCUGGCCUAAUACUGACGCUGAGGUACGAAAGCAUGGGGAGCAAACAGGAUUAGAUACCCUGGUAGUCCAUGCCGUAAACGAUGUCUACUAGCCGUUGGGGCCUUUGAGGCUUUAGUGGCGCAGCUAACGCGAUAAGUAGACCGCCUGGGGAGUACGGUCGCAAGACUAAAACUCAAAUGAAUUGACGGGGGCCCGCACAAGCGGUGGAGCAUGUGGUUUAAUUCGAUGCANCGCGAAGAACCUUACCUGGCCUUGACAUACUAGAAACUUUCCAGAGAUGGAUUGGUGCCUUCGGGAAUCUAGAUACAGGUGCUGCAUGGCUGUCGUCAGCUCG